GACGAACGCUGGCGGCGUGCUUAACACAUGCAAGUCGAACGGAAAGGCCUCUUUCGGGGGGUACUCGAGUGGCGAACGGGUGAGUAACACGUGAGUAACCUGCCCUUGACUUUGGGAUAACUUCAGGAAACUGGGGCUACUACCGGAUAGGAGCUCCUGCUGCAUGGUGGGGGUUGGAAAGUUUCGGCGGUUGGGGAUGGACUCGCGGCUUAUCAGCUUGUUGGUGGGGUAGUGGCUUACCAAGGCUUUGACGGGUAGCCGGCCUGAGAGGGUGACCGGCCACAUUGGGACUGAGAUACGGCCCAGACUCCUACGGGAGGCAGCAGUGGGGAAUAUUGCACAAUGGGUGGAAGCCUGAUGCAGCAACGCCGUGUGCGGGAGGACGGCCUUCGGGUUGUAAACCGCUUUCGCUCAUGACGAAGCUUUGUGUGACGGUAGUGGGUAAAGAAGCACCGGCUAACUACGUG
rnacentral:rRNA from 1 species